rnacentral:rRNA from 1 species
UUAAAGACGAUGACGUUGAUAGGUCGGGUGUGUAAGCGUAGCGAUACGUUGAGCUAACCGAUACUAAUGAACCGUGAGGCUUAACCUU